CAAAGUCCGCUUUAUCCCUCCAAAGGCAGCCCCGAAGCACGCCCUCAACGCUCUUGAGACACCUCCUAAGCGUCGCAAUACUAUAGCAGAUGUAGAUGAGGACGUUCGUAGGUUAGACAAGGUCAUCAUAGAGCUCCAGUCCUCGGUUAACUCUAUCAAUAGGCAGCUCUCUAACCAGAACACCGUUAUACUAGGUCUUAAGCAUGAUUUUGCUAGUGUCAAUAAGAAGAUUAGGGAGUUACAGCAUCGCUAAGUUAUUUAGAUUAGAUCUUGAGGCGGUAUAUAUCUUAGUUAUUCAUCUUUAGAUUCGGCUUAAAUCUAUUAUUAGCUUCAGUUCGUUAUUAGUCAGUUGUAAUAAAUGCCUCAAGAUUAAUAAAGAUUAUUAUUAUUAUUAUUAUUAUUAUUAUUAUUAUUAUUAUUAUUAUUAUUAUUAUUAUUAUUAUUAUUAUUAUUAUUAUUAUUAUUAUUAUUAUGUCUUGUGUGUCUCUACUCUAUUUUUAUGCAAGAAAGCAAAAAACAAGUAUGGGGGAGAUCCCCGACAUGCCAAACACACUUCGACCACACCACUCCACGAUUCAGGUACAUAAUCUGCACACUUUACACAUACGCAUAUAUCUUGGUUCGUGCAGAAUAUUGUCUCCGAUAUGAUAAAUUAAAUUAAUUAAAAUAUUUCUAAUCAUGAUUAAUCUCACUCUGUGAUAUUUUCUGAAAACCUGCAAUUAUUGAAAAAUCAUUUUAAAACCCCGUGUUACUUAAGUCACUGUAGAAUGUGAGAUGGUAGAGUAUGAGUAUCUUAUUCUUGAUAUCGUUGUUGCUUGGAGAAUUUAUUUCAAAAAUUCUAGCUACCAUCCUCAGUGUUUUAUAUGCCUGCUAAACCUGAAAAUUAAAUAAUUAGAAAAGCUAUCUGCUCUGUAUUGAGUUUGUUCAAAACGAGUUAAACCCUUGUUGAGAGAUUUACCAUGCUCCUAAAAUCAAGACAUAUAUUCAGAAAGAUUCACUCUUUCAAAGUAUUAUUUCGUUAGAGGCAUGGGCUAUGCAAAAAUAUAAAUAUUUCGAGAAAAUAAAAAGGAGCAAGUGCUCGACAACCUCGUAGAAAAAAAUAGACAAGUGUCUGGCAGUAGAAUUAGGGGUACUUCGGUAUCCACCUCAAAAAAAAAAGAAGAAAAAGAGAAAAGAAAGAAGAAAAUGAUAGCGCAUGGUCCCUCUAAUAAGCAAUAUGCCAGUAAAAGUUGACAAGUUUUUAAUUUCCAAAGUCUUUGAUCUAAGAGUACAACAUUUCUCUCCUCGGAUCCUGUUUUGAUCGUGUCGGUGUUUUCCCCCCGGGGGGUCACACCAACGAGUAAAUUUGUAUGCGUGCUCCCUUUCCCAGAUGGUGAUGCAAGAAGACACAGAGAUUUAUCCUGGUUCGGGCAAGAGGAGGCCCUACGUCCAGCGGGGGGGAGAAGUUUGUAUUAUCUUGCACCUAAGUGCUUGUACCGGGGUGAAUACAAGCGCGGUAUGAAGUGUGCGUGCCUUACUGCGUAUGUGUGUAGUAUCGCGUGGUGAUGUCUCUCUUGUGUUCUAUUCCUGAGUCCCUCCUUUUAUAGUUCCAAGGAGAGACCCAGGGUACAUGUAUAGGCGUCAGAAUAGGAGUCGAUAGCAGUAUGGAGCGCUGACCUACUCGAGGCUCCCGUACCGGCAUGGCCUCGAGCUGUCCUAUCUUAAUAGCCUGGUGAUGAUUACGCGUGCCCCUGCAUUCUGCUCUGCGCGCCGUCUUGUACUGGUUCAACGGUCGCAUGCUCAUACGGUUUGGCGGCAAAUCCGGCGGAGUGGUUGCGGCGUGGCCAGUCGACGUCCGACCCGUCCCC
rnacentral:lncRNA from 1 species